rnacentral:rRNA from 1 species
GUGGGGAAUAUUGGACAAUGGGCGAAAGCCUGAUCCAGCCAUGCCGCGUGUGUGAAGAAGGUCUUCGGAUUGUAAAGCACUUUAAGUUGGGAGGAAGGGCAGUAAGUUAAUACCUUGCUGUUUUGACGUUACCGACAGAAUAAGCACCGGCUAACUUCGUGCCAGCAGCCGCGGUAAUACGAAGGGUGCAAGCGUUAAUCGGAAUUACUGGGCGUAAAGCGCGCGUAGGUGGGUUUGUAAGUUGGAGGUGAAAUCCCCGGGCUCAACCUGGGAACUGCCUCCAAAACUGCAUGACUAGAGUACGGUAGAGGGUAGUGGAAUUUCCUGUGUAGCGGUGAAAUGCGUAGAUAUAGGAAGGAACACCAGUGGCGAAGGCGACUACCUGGACUGAUACUGACACUGAGGUGCGAAAGCGUGGGGAGCAAACAGGAUUAGAAACCCUAGUAGUCC